rnacentral:rRNA from 1 species
CUAAGAAUAUUCCGCAAUGGACGAAAGUCUGACGGAGCGACGCCGCGUGGAUGACGAAGGCCGAAAGGUUGUAAAAUCCUUUUGUCGAUGAAGAAUAAGCAUGGGAGGGAAUGCCCGUGUGAUGACGUUAGUCGGCGAAUAAGCCCCGGCUAAUUACGUGCCAGCAGCCGCGGUAACACGUAAGGGGCGAGCGUUGUUCGGAAUUAUUGGGCGUAAAGGGCGCGUAGGCGGUCCUGUAAGCCCGGCGUGAAAACCUGGAGCUCAACUCCGGGCCUGCGCUGGGAACUGCGGGACUAGAGUCAUGGAAGGGAAGUUGGAAUUCCAGGUGUAGGGGUGAAAUCUGUAGAUAUCUGGAAGAACACCGGUGGCGAAGGCGAACUUCUGGCCAAUGACUGACGCUGAGGCGCGAAAGUGCGGGGAGCAAACA